rnacentral:lncRNA from 1 species
UUAUGUGUGUGUUACAUCCAAGUAUUGCAUGUAAUUCUAUAAUUUAUCAUUCAUAUCUAAAUUUUAAAUUAUAUAAUUAAUUAAGAUUAAAACAUGUUUGAUAGAAAAGAGGAAAAGAUAACUAAAUUGCAUUAUUUCAUAAAGAGAAAAUGAGAAUUACAAAAAAAAAAAACUUCCAAAAACAAAUAGGAAAAAAGAAAUGAAAAAACCAAGAUAUACAGUCAUAUAAAAAAUAUAAUUUUCUCCAUGCUCUUUUUGAGUCAUAUUCCUAGAGUCUGCCGUAAAACCUUGGAAAUUUUUUUGUUUGAUUUAUUUAAUUUAUUUAUCCACUAAAAAAGUAAAUUAAUAAUUAC